rfam:Salmo salar isolate Sally breed double haploid chromosome ssa21, whole genome shotgun sequence.
AACAUGUAUGCGUGCAAGUUGCUUUGAAUAAAAGCGUCUGCUAAAUGGCAUAUA